UACAGAGGUGGCAAGCGUUGUUCGGAAUUACUGGGCGUAAAGGGCGCGUAGGCGGCCUUCUAAGUCAGACGUGAAAUCCCCCGGCUUAACCUGGGAACUGCGUCUGAUACUGGGAGGCUUGAGUAUGGGAGAGGGAUGUAGAAUUCCAGGUGUAGCGGUGAAAUGCGUAGAUAUCUGGAGGAAUACCGGUGGCGAAGGCGGCAUCCUGGACCAUUCCUGACGCUGAGACGCGAAAGCUAGGGGAGCGAACAGG
rnacentral:rRNA from 1 species